AUUGAACGCUGGCGGCAGGCCUAACACAUGCAAGUCGAACGGUAACAGGAAGAAGCUUGCUUCUUUGCUGACGAGUGGCGGACGGGUGAGUAAUGUCUGGGAAACUGCCUGAUGGAGGGGGAUAACUACUGGAAACGGUAGCUAAUACCGCAUAACGUCGCAAGACCAAGGAGGGGGACCUUCGGGCCUCUUGCCAUCGGAUGUGCCCAGAUGGGAUUAGCUAGUAGGUGGGGUAACGGCUCACCUAGGCGACGAUCCCUAGCUGGUCUGAGAGGAUGACCAGCCACACUGGAACUGAGACACGGUCCAGACUCCUACGGGAGGCAGCAGUGGGGAAUAUUGCACAAUGGGCGCAAGCCUGAUGCAGCCAUGCCGCGUGUAUGAAGAAGGCCUUCGGGUUGUAAAGUACUUUCAGCGGGGAGGAAGGGGGUAAAGUUAAUACCUUUGCUCAUUGACGUUACCCGCAGAAGAAGCACCGGCUAACUCCGUG
rnacentral:rRNA from 1 species